UUUGCGUCGAAGGUAUACCGGUAAGGAGUGCUGGAGCGAAUAGAAGUGAGCAUGCAGGCAUGAGUAGCGAUAAUUAAUGUGAGAAUCAUUAACGCCGUAAACCCAAGGUUUCCUACGCGAUGCUCGUCAUCGUAGGGUUAGUCGGGUCCUAAGUCGAGUCCGAAAGGGGUAGACGAUGGCAAAUUGGUUAAUAUUCCAAUACCAACAUUAGUGUGCGAUGGAAGGACGCUUAGGGCUAAGGGGGCUAGCGGAUGGAAGUGCUAGUCUAAGGUCGUAGGAGGUUAUACAGGCAAAUCCGUAUAACAAUACUCCGAGAACUGAAAGGCUUUUUGAAGUCUUCGGAUGGAUAGAAGAACCCCUGAUGCCGUCGAGCCAAGAAAAGUUUCUAAGUUUAGCUAAUGUUGCCCGUACCGUAAACCGACACAGGUGGGUGGGAUGAGUAUUCUAAGGCGCGUGGAAGAACUCUCUUUAAGGAACUCUGCAAAAUAGCACCGUAUCUUCGGUAUAAGGUGUGGUUAGCUUUGUAUUAGGAUUUACUCCGAAAGCAAGGAAACUUACAACAAAGAGUCCCUCCCGACUGUUUACCAAAAACACAGCACUCUGCUAACUCGUAAGAGGAUGUAUAGGGUGUGACGCCUGCCCGGUGCUCGAAGGUUAAUUGAUGGGGUUAGCAUUAGCGAAGCUCUUGAUCGAAGCCCGAGUAAACGGCGGCCGUAACUAUAACGGUCCUAAGGUAGCGAAAUUCCUUGUCGGUUAAAUACCGACCUGCAUGAAUGGCGUAACGAGAUGGGAGCUGUCUCAAAGAGGGAUCCAGUGAAAUUGUAGUGGAGGUGAAAAUUCCUCCUACCCGCGGCAAGACGGAAAGACCCCGUGGACCUUUACUACAGCUUGACACUGCUACUUGGAUAAGAAUGUGCAGGAUAGGUGGGAGGCUUUGAGUAUAUGACGCCAGUUGUAUAUGAGCCAUUGUUGAGAUACCACUCUUUCUUAUUUGGGUAGCUAACCAGCUUGAGUUAUCCUCAAGUGGGACAAUGUCUGGUGGGUAGUUUGACUGGGGCGGUCGCCUCCCAAAUAAUAACGGAGGCUUACAAAGGUUGGCUCAGAACGGUUGGAAAUCGUUCGUAGAGUAUAAAGGUAUAAGCCAGCUUAACUGCAAGACAUACAAGUCAAGCAGAGACGAAAGUCGGUCUUAGUGAUCCGGUGGUUCUGUGUGGAAGGGCCAUCGCUCAAAGGAUAAAAGGUACCCCGGGGAUAACAGGCUGAUCUCCCCCAAGAGCUCACAUCGACGGGGAGGUUUGGCACCUCGAUGUCGGCUCAUCGCAUCCUGGGGCUGGAGCAGGUCCCAAGGGUAUGGCUGUUCGCCAUUUAAAGCGGUACGCGAGCUGGGUUCAGA
rnacentral:rRNA from 1 species